AAACCAACUGGGAUUACCUUAGUAACGGCGAGUGAAGCGGUAAAAGCUCAAAUUUGAAAUCUGGUACUUUCAGUGCCCGAGUUGUAAUUUGUAGAAUUUGUCUUUGAUUAGGUCCUUGUCUAUGUUCCUUGGAACAGGACGUCAUAGAGGGUGAGAAUCCCGUUCGGCGAGGAUACCUUUUCUCUGUAAGACUUUUUCGAAGAGUCGAGUUGUUUGGGAAUGCAGCUCAAAGUGGGUGGUAAAUUCCAUCUAAAGCUAAAUAUUGGCGAGAGACCGAUAGCGAACAAGUACAGUGAUGGAAAGAUGAAAAGAACUUUGAAAAGAGAGUGAAAAAGUACGUGAAAUUGUUGAAAGGGAAGGGCAUUUGAUCAGACAUGGUGUUUUUUGCAUGCACUCGCCUCUCGUGGGCUUGGGCCUCUCAAAAAAUUUCACUGGGCCAACAUCAAUUCUGGCAGUAGGAUAAAUCAUUAAGAAUGUAGCUACCUCGGUAGUGUUAUAGCUUAUUGGAAUACUGCU
rnacentral:rRNA from 1 species